AAUAUCACCAACAUUAAUAACUGUUAGUGACGAGGACGACGGCGACAAGAUUAAUAAGAAUGGCGAUCAGGAGGGCGAGGUCGACGCCUAUAUUAAAACCAAUUUCUCAAUUGUCGGCCUUAUAAAUUCAAGCGCUGUCUUUCCACAGCCCCAAGAUUCGCCAUUUAUAGAGCAAUCAAUUUCGACCACAAGUUUGCCGCUGUUAUUUAAAUUAAUGGAGACUUUUAUCGAAAAAGAUGCAUCUACCGGUGGCUAUAAAACCAAACGGCUGCAGUUAAAUUUAGAAACGCGUACCGCGCUCAAAAAGAAGAAAUUAAGUCAUCCCGACGUCGCCUCUCAAUCAACUCCGUCCUUAAGAAAAUCUACCUGGCUGAAAGAUACAAUAUCGUCCUUAAAUCGACUUGUUAAAGGCGAACGGCUUAACAAUACCAUUGUUAAUGCUUGCAUGCAUAUUUUGGCCAUAAAACAUAGAUUUUGUUUCUUUAAUAGCCAUUUUCUCCUUCAGUCAGGGCCGCCCAUCUCGUGGAAGCGGAAGGCUGAAUAUGGAAAUCCCCUGCAGUCGGACCUUGUUUUAAUACCUAUUUACGAAAAUAAUCACUGGUACCUCUUGGUUAUAUAUAAGUUGGAUAUUGGAAAUAGGGCGCAAAAGGAUCGAAUAAUCUGUUUUUUCGACCUUUUAAAAUUAACCUUACGGUCCUAUAAACGUAUUUUUAUAUAUUGGACGUAAUACCUCAGCGAUUUCGGUUAUUAAGGAGCUGUGCACCGAAAACAAAUCACGUUUCCCCAACAGUUUAAUUUUGUUAAUUGCGGAAUUUUUAACAUUGCAUUCGCCUACCAGAUUACUGAAAAUCGUCAAAGGUUUGUCAAUGUUGUCGAAAGCGGGACAGGUUUAGACUGGACCAUCGACGCACCCAAAUGGCGUAUAUAUAUACGGUCUGAGCUAGAGCCCACCUACGACGACAGUUCCGCUAUUUUAUAUUACAAACCUAAAAAUACCAGGGAAGGUAAUAAUAAUACCCGCAUAAAGGUGGUUUCGGCCUACUAUAUUUUAAAAGUUUUGCCGAAAGUUUCGAAACAAACCUUGCCGUUAGCGACAAUUGCGUCUUCCGUGGACGCCGCUGUGGAUCCAGACCUCGUAAUGGGCCAUAAUAUAACUAUAACCAAUAUAUUUGCUGUUUUAUCCCCCCCAAAUUACUAUUAUUAUUAAAAGGCGGCGUAACUAUUAAUUUGUAAAUAAAAAGAAACUUUAAAUCGCAACAGGAUUGCUAAUAUUAAUCUGCGGUUAAUAGGGCCAAUUCUGAAAUCUCCCUAUAAACGAUAAUAUGCUUUAGUCUAGAUAUUCGCUAUUUAUAUCGCGUACAUUUGCGAAAUCGUUAACGCCAUCCUUAACGCCAAUUUCGCCUCCCUUUUAAUUUAUUCCAAUGCAAAUUACUACCGAGAAAAAGGAGCAGGUAAUGCAGAAAAAAGCUGCAUUACAGGAUAGUAACAAGCUAUUUUCACACCCUAUAUUUACGUUAUCGUUACUAAAUACUACUGCGGCUACCCUUUUUGAAAUUUUUUCAAUUUUAUCGCGGGAAAAAAUCGAGAGAUUGCGGGCUGCCCAUCCCCAAAACUUAACUAAAAAGGUACAAAAGGUUUUUAAUUGGAUUUUCCAAUACGCCUUAUAUUUCGGGCAAGGCGAUGGAUGGGUACAAUUUAUAUAAAAAAACUGGACAGACCAUUCCCAACCCUAUCCUACCUUUUACCAAUUAAUUGUUUGCCCCGCUGUUUACCCCUUUCCGCGAACCCGAACAUUCCGGUCCUGGUAACCUUUAACAAUUUUCACAUUCCAAUCGCUUGUCCAUAUCGAGUUUAAUAUGGCAAACCAGCCAAAUUGCACCGGAUACCAUAGGUGUUUAACGUCCGCGUCCGCAGCCUUUGCCUAUCCCAUCGGCAAAUCUUAAAAUGGCAUCCACGGCCCUAAACCGCAGUCGACAGGGAAAAAACGGUAUCCUAUCGUCCCCAACCCGACAGGACGACAUAUUAUUAAUAAAAAUUGGCGCUAUUGUAAAUUGUAUAUUUGGUAGGAAUUAAACGUGGUUUAUAAUAUUUUAUUUAUUAUUAUUGCAAUAAAAUUAAUUAAAAUAUUUGUACGCAAAUAAUCUCCUAAUUUCCACGGCUUUAAAAGGCCACAAAUCCACGUUUAACAUUCCAUAAUCGUUUUUAAAUACUACGACCCUAAAUUUUAAUUAGCAUACCGAUUUCCACAAUAUUUAGGUGGAAUUGCCGCCAAACACAUACCUGCCAGCGCCGCUGUUAAAAAAUGUUAACCCCAACCCGACUCCAAAAGUUAUUUCUAGCUCCUUACCCAAUUAUUUAACCUACGCGGUUCGACCAGAAAUAUUAAUGCGCGCAACGGGUAAUAAUAACUUGUGGAUUAUAUUCACGGUACCAUAUAACGGGAAUCCCCCAUUUGCUAAAUAUUUCCGAUUUGGGUACCAUUUAAGUUAAUUAGUUAAAAAACCUAUUACCUAUUUAUUAUAAUAAAACAAAUUACAAUGGCGAAUUUUAAUUAAUAUAACAUUUCCCUAUCGUUUGGUUAUAACGUUAAACCCCAUAUACCCUAAUAUGCCCGUUUUUUUUGGUGCCCACCCAGUUAGUUUUUCGACCAGGUUUAUAUCCAUUUAAUUUGCGGCCGAUACAUCCAUUAUAAUAUUUUCGUUGCCCUCGAAACAUUCCCAUAUUUCCGAACAUUUAAAAUUUCCGUACCGCAUUUAAAGGCCGGCAAUUUUAUUCAAUUUUUAUAUUUUAACGAAAUCGAUAUAUUUUUCGAAAAAUUAAUCUAGGUUGUGGCAGGAGAAGUCCGGAACAUCGCCUUUUUGGAAUUUAUAGGUUUGAAAUUUUAAAUUAACCACGACGAAAAUAUGUCCGUGAACGUAUUUAUCGAUUAUAUCCUUAAUUGGAAUAGGUUUUGUUCGGCGGCAGAUAGGCGACUUGCCGUCGAUUCCGUACAAAAUUAUACCUUUAGGGAGAGGAAAAUGGCUAUGGGCAGAGUGGAUAUAUAACAGAUUAAAUAAAUUAUAUUUGUCGAUUAUUAAAAAGAAAGUGCUCAAAUGCUCUUUAAAUAUUUUAUCUUCGUCGUUAAGGUCUUUAUCGUCAAUGAAAAUAUUGUAUUUAUAAUCGAAUUAGCAAACGCGUAUUAGCGAGGUGCGGGGAGAAUAACGACGCCUUACUACGCUAUUUUACGUGGGAGGCAAAUGCUCCGAAUUAUUUGGAGCUCGAAAAUGCCCUUUUGAAAGCGUUUCGUAAACUGCCGUGGGAAGAGAUAUUUAUUAACUCGGUUUUAAAUAGGCUUCGGACCCGGCCAAAUUACAAAAUUAAAUAAUUAAAGGAGAUUAUCAACCAUUAUAUAAAUAUAAUGGCUUCCAUAUUUGGUUUGUUACCAUUAACCGAGGACGAGAAGGAUAAAGGACGGAAAGGGAAAAAGAAUAAACCAGAAAUACAAAAUAAUAUAAUGGAGGCUAUUAUGGAAAAUUUUAUAAAAGGGGCCAGAUCGAUUUUUGAAAAAGCCUAUUGGAGGAGCUCCCCUUCGAAAACCGCUUUAUCGAUGGGGUAAUAUAUGCGAAUAUAUCUUUGCAGGCAUUUUUCCUCGAAAUAUAAAAUGCUAAUUAAGAUUAUUAUAUGGCGGUGCGAAAUUUGGAAAGUAUAAACGAUAAGAUUUGCUUAAAAUGUUAAAUUUAUUUUCUUAUAAGAAAUUAUAUUUAUAAUCGUUAUUUUAAUUUAUUAGCAACUGUUGUACUUUUUUUAACAAGUUGCAUUGGGGAGGAUAUGGGGACCGUUUCUGGCCUCAAAUUAAUUAAAUCCCAAGGGCUGGGAUUAGCUAAUACCCACUGUAAUUUAACUACAACCAAAAAAGGUUGGGUCGGAACUGGGACACGCCAAAUGGAUCCGCGCCUCCCCGUUCCCGAUUAACUUAAUACGCAAAUCCAGUGGAAAACUUAUACAAUAUUUCUUUUCGUGCGGCUAACCUAUUAAAUACUCCCGAUAAACUUAUAUAAUAGCCCGGUUAAUAUAAUAUAUUAAAUGGUCUUUUAUUUUUGCUCAAACCUCCUACACCCAUUCGAACUAGCUAAUUAUAACGUCCCGCCCGGUUUCCAGGCGCAUUUAUUUUACAAAAACCAUUGCGGCUAAUGCAAUAUAGCUACCAUUACUGCCAAAAACUGGAAAAAUUCCGAACGCGAAUUCCUCGUUAAUAAUAAUACCUUUCGGAAACGGAGUUUACGUCCUAAUAAAUAUAUCGUUAAUAUUAAAGGGGACCUUUUUGUCCCACGACAGGGCUACGAACGGCUGCAAAACGAGGCGGUAUACAUCCGCUUCAUUCGAGAAAAUACCGAAAUCCCGGUGCCCGAAAUCUUGCAAGUUUAUAACGACAAAGGCGCCUUUGUCCUCACUAUAAAACGGUUGCAUAAUAUCGAAAUGCGCGAAUUAAAUGCCGAAUAGCAAUUUAUUAUUAUGGGGCAGGUUAAGUCCCAUUUGCACACCCUCCGAUCGCUCCGGGGUAUUUAUAUAGGCGGCCCUACCGGCAUUAUCUGUCCGCCUCCAAAGGUAAUUUAAUAGUUCCCCGAGGGCACGACGUGGACCUUAACCGCCCCUGGUCCCGAAGGGCCUAAUCUGGUUUUUUGCCAUGGCGACCUUUCCCAAAGCAAUAUUCUCGUCGACCCCAAAAUUUUCAAAAUCGAGGCUAUUAUUAAUUGGGAAUUUGCUGGCUUUUGGCCAAAGGAUUUCGAGGCGCCUUAUUUCAGAAACCCCAGUCCUUCUGGGGCCCAAUUUACCCAACGCGCCUCAAAUGCCCAAUUAAUAAUUUUUAUAAAAAGCCAAGGCCACAAACUGGAUAAUUAAUUAAAACCGGGAUAAGUUAGUUAAAUGGGGAUGGUUUUUGGUAUCCGCAGGCCAAACGCAGUUUCGAAAUUACUAUGUUUUUUUAUCUGUUUACCACACCGUUUUACUAAAAUUCCUAAUAUUUAAGUCGGCGGCCAGCGAAAUAUUUGCACAGAUAGGGUAAUGGAGGCACGUCCCAAUUUAUAAAUAGGUUUAAUUACCAAAACUUUUUAAAUUACCGGAAUAUUAUAUUGGCCAUCCGAACAUUUUAAAAACUAACAGCGAAUAAAAUACAAAAUAAUACAUUUUCCAAUUAUUACCCCUCCAAUUUCAGUUAAAAUUAAAUAUUAAACGAAUUGGGCAAAUAACGUUAUUUAAACACUGUUAUAAUUAUAUUGCAAAAUAGUAGUUAGCUCCUAUAAUAAUACCAAUAGGGAUAAAAAUAUAAUUGGUUACUUUAAUAUAUUGGCACAGGACUGAAUUAUACCACUGGGCUCCCUCCAAUUGUAACCAGACAUUGCCCGCGUACCAAUAUCGUCCGUUCGUGUCAAUUUCCAUUACAGGAUAAUUUCAAAUAAAUAACCAAAUCUGGCGAAUUUAACCCAUAUUUAAUUAUAUUAUAAUAACCAAAUUAUAUAAACCCAACGUGUAUUUAUAAAAAGGGAGAAAUAAAAGGGGAGUGAAAAUUAGUUCCUGGUUAUUAUAUACCCUGCCGACCUCCAUCUUUCACCAUAGCAUUAAUAUAUUCGUCCCUACUGCUUGGGGCAGCAAAUAAUAUGGAGGAGGAUCGCAUCCGGCUCGCCUAUAUAUGGAUUAGCUUAGGUUACGUUAUUUAUAACACCCUUAUUUUAUAUCGGAUAAAUUCCCCGUCUUAUUCCAAUAACAAAGACAACCUCCUUUCGACAUGGACUGGUUCCUGCAUACGUUGGAAAUUGCGUCGAAAUAAACCCGGUUAUAAUUGGCCCAAUAAUGGCAGGUAUAAAUAACCCUUAUUUGGGACAAAAUGUGUUUGGAAAUAUAUUGGGGGACUGCCCCUUCCUUUUAUAUUUCGUUCCUGUUUGGGUUAAUUAUUUUCGGAAGGUUUUGGGCCUUUAAAACUCAAAAAUUUUAUAAAUAAGAAGUGGUUUUGCUCGCUCCUCCCAUUUAAUAAUUAUUAUACCCUAUAAACCAGACCUAUUACCUAUUUCUCCCAGAUUCCAUCUAAUUAAAAUUUAUAACAUUUACCGCAAAAACCGGAAAAUGUUCGAGUUUUAUUUUCACAAUAUACUUUUAAAAAUCGUCAAAUACCAGAAAUGCGAUACCAGUUUGUCGGACACCCAAACAACGUACCCGAGCUGUGGUUUUACCAUUCUUUACACGAAAUAAAUACAAUUUAUUCCUCCCCAUAAAUAUAACGGUAAAAUUAUUCCGUAAUUAAUUCGUUUUAAUAACCAAAUACAAUUUCGACUUUACGGUAUAUCCCAUAUAAGAAGGUAGUGGUAUGGGCUGGGAUAACGGUAGUAUUUCGGAAAAUUUGAGAAAAUUGGUUAGGUUAGACUGGAAAUUUGAAGUUUUUUAAAAUAUAUAUUAAAAGUUCAAACUUUGACGUCCUUGCCCAUCAAACUGGGGUCCUCCCAUUAUAUUAAAUUAAAUUUUACUGUCCGACUAUAUAUUUCGUGCGUUGCAGGGCCCAAAUAGUCCGCUUCCCUGGUUAAUUUUAGGUUUCGUGCGGGUUUGUCCGGCGUGGUUAAUUGAAAAUAUAAUAUUACGUUCGCCAAACGUAUUAUAUCUUGCUUUGACAAAAAUCGUAAUUGGGACCCAUUUAUUCCAUUAAUUUCAAUUCCCUAUUUGGUACCCCUUAUAAAAUAAUGGUUUUACAAAUAAUGUUCGAAUCCAGGAAACAAAUCUUGUCCAUUAUUCUCACGUUUUUAUUAUUUCUAUUUAAUAUACUUUAUUAUAUCAGUAGUUAAUAUUAGCCUAAUUAGUUAUUUAUAUUCGAAAAAAAAACAACUCUUGGUAUAAAACACCAGAUAAAAGCCCCUCGUACGCAAACCAAGGUUUGGUAGGAUAUUUUUAACCAGUUAACCGUGGCUGCCCCCAAUAGCAGCAUAAUAUAACCAAGGUAUAUAUAAAUUUAAAACUAUUA
rnacentral:sRNA from 1 species